rnacentral:rRNA from 1 species
UACGUAGGGGGCAAGCGUUGUCCGGAAUCAUUGGGCGUAAAGCGCGUGUAGGCGGCCCGAUAAGUCUGCCGUGAAAGUCCAGGGCUCAACCCUGGGAUGCCGGUGGAAACUGUCGGGCUUGAGUCCGGAAGAGGCGAGUGGAAUUCCUGGUGUAGCGGUGAAAUGCGCAGAUAUCAGGAGGAACACCUAUAGCGAAGGCAGCUCGCUGGGACGGUACUGACGCUGAGACGCGAAAGCGUGGGGAGCAAACAGG